rnacentral:rRNA from 1 species
CCUACGGGAGGCUGCAGUGGGGAAUAUUGGGCAAUGGGCGCAAGCCUGACCCAGCAACGCCGCGUGAAGGAAGAAGGCUUUCGGGUUGUAAAAUUCUUUUCUCAGGGACGAAGCAAGUGACGGUACCUGAGGAAUAAGCCACGGCUAACUACGUGCCAGCAGCCGCGGUAAUCCGUAGGGGGCAAGCGUUAUCCGGAUUUACGGGGUGUAAAGGGCGUGUAGGCGGGGACGCAAGUCAGAUGUGAAAACCACGGGCGCAACCUGUGGCCUGCAUUUGAAACUGGGUUUCUUGAGUACGGGAGAGGCAGGCGGAAUUCCUAGUGUAGCGGUGAAAUGCGUAGAUAUUAGGAGGAACACCGGUGGCGAAGGCGGUCUGCUGGACAGCAACUGACGCUGAGGCGCGAAAGCGUGGGGAGCAAACAGGAUUAGAUACCCCAGUAGUC